rnacentral:tRNA from 1 species
GGCAGUGUAGCUCAGUCUGGUUAGAGCACACGGCUCAUACCCGUGUUGUCAUUGGUUCAAAUCCAAUCACUGCCACCA